rnacentral:lncRNA from 1 species
AUGGUUGUCAAGAGAAGCACAAAAAGCAUCCCAUUAGAAUGGCUUCAGUCUUUUCUCUCUCUGAUUUCCUCUCCAGGUUCUCCCAACAGGACAAUAAACUCAUCUGGAAGGCAGAGGGCCUGCCCAUUCAUAAACCUGUUGAUGUGGUCCCCAGAGUACCAGUUUAAGAUGGCAAGACCAACACUGUUGAUUCUGGGGCCAGAACUGGGACAAGUCCUUGAUUUGUCUACACUAGCUGUAUACACCAUCUACCUCCUGAGAGGAUUCAUUUUUCUUCCUAUGCUGGCCCAGGAAACCAGCACCAUCAAAACACCUGAAUGUUCUCCAGAUGCAGGUAUGAGACAGCGCAACCCUUCCAUCACCCAACCCUGCAACUUGUGGAUUUAUUUGUAUGGAGCUCCAGCAUUGCCAGUGCCCCUCAUUGUCUGGAGUGCACACCUGCCUGACCUCAGUAGACCCUUCAGGAAGUAUUCUAAGAAAGGGUCCAAGAGGAGAAAGAAGAAAUAGCCUGGCCAUCUUCCUGAAAUUUUCCCCAAAUGCUCAAUUCCCCGGGACCAGAGAGGAACCCCGGAUACAAACUUGACAAUGCCAAUGGAAAUAAUCAAUAUCAACCUAUAAAGGAAUAGAAAAGUUUUAUUUGAACUAAACUGAGGACUAUAGGCCAGGAGCCAGCCUCUCAGCCCUGAGGAACUGUUCCAAAGAAGCAUGAUUUUCAGCAUAUUCUUACAUCUUAUCGGUCAAAGAACAUCAGACAUGACAGGGGUACAUUCCUUCAAAGUUUCAAGAAGGACAAGUCAGCACGUACCCAGUGAGUCCCUAAGGCCUUGGCACCGGAGGAGGAAGGCUUAUCAUUGAAGGAGCACUAGCAGUGACCUCCCAGGAAAAGAAGCAUUUAGCCUUUAUCUUUAAAGCCAACAUUCUUUACUUCUGGCCAAUGCACCCUCUUCUUUACUGAUUAAAGCAGAUUAUGAUGGAAGUUUGGUAAGCCACAAAGAGGCUGUUCUAGUUAGCAUGUUCAAGUUCAAGUUAAAUAUUGUCUAAGCCAGAAUGAUGUCCUCAUACCUCAGUAUGUGAAAUUUUCUUCCAUCAACAAGAAGCCUGAGGACAAAAUUUUAAAAGGGAAAUUCUGCAAAAAUUCGGGAUGGGGGAAAUGAAAGAGGAGAAUGGCUCUAUAUUAUAGGUCCUGGAUGAGGGGAGCUGGCCCCACACCCCAAAAUGGGUUUGUCUGGGCAAAUGACAAGAUAGGGAGGCUCCCCUAAUGUCCCCUCAUCUACCCAAGUGUGUUGGGGAACCCCCAGAGGCCAUGCAGAUGCCGACAACCGUAGCCACAUGUAACAUGACCAGAACCCAUGUUAUACCACAGUUUGGCUUCAUCAUAAUCCUGAAAGCACGGCAAAAAUUCUAGGUAUCAGGAGAGUCGCCAAAACCAUGGCCUGAUCCUCAAUGGAAAGAUUCCCGGGAGUGAGUUUAUUUUCUCUUUCUCUCUCUCUCUCUCUUUUUUUUUUUUGCUUUUUAGAGCCACACCUGCAGCAUAUGGAGGUUCCCAGGCUAGGGGUUGAAUUGGAGCUACAGCUGCUGGCCUACAAUACACCACAGCCACAGCAAUGUGAGAUCCGAGCUAUGCCACAGCUUAUGGCAACUCCAGAUCCUUAACCAGUAAGCAAGGCCAGGGAUCAGACCUGUGUCCUCAUGUAUACUGGUCGGGUUCAUUGCUGCUGAACCAUGACAGGAACCCCAGUUCAGCCUUUUCUUGGGUAAACUAUGCAUUUUGUUAACACUUUUCCCAGAGAUGCUGUUCUUGGCUCUUAUGUAGCCUUUCUUUUGUUCAUCUAAAGCCUUCUCUGGAACCUCCCUGUUGUUUCCAGGGGCUUUUUUGCCAACUGCCUAGAGAAAUGUCACUUAAUGCCUGACGUUUCCUUGUUCUGCCUGUGUGUCCUCCAUUAUUUCCACGAUCAGAAAGCAAAACCAACCCACUUCCCAGCUUCCCCAGCAGUCAGGGUGGCCAUGGGACCCCUUUCUGUCCCCAAGGGGAGGUGGAAGCCUGUGGAGCGGACAUGCCUUGUUUUUUCUUCUUCUGCCCUGUUUCUCCUGCCUCAGGGCACUCACAGAGCCUAGAAGUUACAUCUUGAAACCACAAGAAUGUAAGGUCACACUGAGGCCGAGAAGGAGCCUAGUUUAAAGAGGAUUUCCCUGAAGAGCUACACCAGCCCUGGACUUCUACAUUAAAAUAGAUAUACCUCCCCACCCACCGCGGAGCUGCUGUUUUGGACUUUCCAUUACUUGCUGCCAAAUACACUGACACAUCCGGAUUAACUAUGUCACUAAGGGAUUUCUAAUAGAGAUUGAUGGAAAAAGUCCCAGUGGGAAAGAGUAGGGUCCCCGAGAGCCCUGAAAAUCCAAACCAUCUGAAACCCAAGAAUUCAGAGGCUUCCGCUACUUUGGUGCUGGUUCUUGCUGUCAUCUAGUGGCAGUAUUUUGGAACUAAAAUUCUUUCUAGGAAAUGCAAAUCAAAACAACAAUGGGAUACCAUCUCCAAGCCUGUCAGAAUGGCUGUCAUCAAAAAGACAAGAGGAGGAGUUCCUGUGGUGGUUCGGUGGUUAGCGAAUCUGACUGGGAACCAUGAGGUCACAGGUUCGAUCCCUGGCCUUGCUCGGUGGGUUAAGGAUCCCGAAUUGCCGAGAGCUGUGGUGUGGGUCGCAGAUGCGGCUUGGGUCCCUCAUUGCUGUGGCUCUGGCAGCUACAGCUCCGAUUCGACCCCUAGCCUGGGAACCUCCAUGUGCUGCAGGCGCGGCCCUAAGAAGACAAAAAGACCAAAAAAAAAAAGAAAAAAAAAAACAAAAAACACAACAAGAGGAAGGAGUUCUCACUGUGGCUCAGCACAAACCUGACCAGUAUCCAUGAGGAUGCUCAGUGGGUUGAGGAUCCAGCAUUGCCACAAGCUGCGAUAUAGGUCGCAGAUGUGGCUCAGAUCUGGCAUUGCUGUGGCUGUGGCAUGGGCCAGCAGCUGUAGCUCUGAUUCAACCUCUAGCCCAGGAACUUCCAUAGGCUGAGGAUGUGGCCCUAAACAAACAAACAAACAAACAAACAAAACAGGCAAGAAACAAGAGUGUUGGUUGACAAGGAUGUGAGGAAAAGGGAACUCUCAUUAUACACUGUUGGUGGGAAUGUAAAUUGGUACAGCUACAAUGGAAAACAGUAUGGAGGGUCCUCAAAAACUUAAAAAGAGAACUACCACAGGGUCAGGGAUUCCACUUCUGCGUAUUUAUCUGAAGAAAACAAAAACACUAAUUUGAAAAGAUCUAUGCGCCCCUGUAUUCACUGCAGCACUACUUACAACAGCCACAACCUAAGUGGCCAGCCAUAGAUGAAUGGAUAAAGAAGAUAUGAUAAAUAUAUAUACAGCAUAGAAUAUUACUCAUCCAUAGGAAAAAUUGCCAUUUACAGCAGAAGGUAUGCACCCAAAGGGGAUUGUGCUGAGUGAAAUAAUCAGAAAGAGAAAAACACGGAUACCCUAUGAGAUCACUUAGAUGUGGAAUCUAAAAAACAAAACAGGAGUUCCCUCCGUGGCUCAGUGGUUAACAAACUGGACUAGGAUCCAUGAGGACGUGGGUUCGAUCCCUGUUCUCGCUCAGUGGGUUAAGGAUCCGGCGUUGCUGUGAGCUGUGGUGUAGGUCGAAGACGAGGCUCGGAUCCCGCAUUCCUGUGGCUGUGGCAUACAUAGCCCAGCGGCCACAGCUCCGAUUCGACCCCUAGCCUGGGAACUUCCAUAUGCUGUAGUUGCGGCCCUAAAAAAGCAAAAAAGUAAAGUAAAAUAAAUAAAAAUAAAAAGCACA